rnacentral:ncRNA from 1 species
GCUGGCCAACGGCAGGGUCUGAAGGAAGCCAUAGGAAGUUAGAGGUACACAACGUAAGUGAACCUGAUUCGGCAGGACAGGAGGGUAAGCGUGCAAAAUAGCGUGAAGCCCGAUACUCAGUCAGUCCUGUUUUGUGUUUGAGGGUGGAAUUUCUAACAGGGAGCCAGU